rnacentral:rRNA from 1 species
GACGAACGCUGGCGGCGUGCUUAACACAUGCAAGUCGAACGGAAAGGCCUGCUUUCCCUUGUGGAUUGCGGGUACUCGAGUGGCGAACGGGUGAGUAACACGUGAGUGAUCUGCCCCCAACUUGGGUAUAAGCCUGGGAAACUGGGUCUAAUUCCCGAUAGGACUGCAGGGUGGUGCCUGUGGUGGAAAACGAUUUUCUAGUGGUUGGGGAUGAGCUCGCGGCCUAUCAGCUUGUUGGUGGGGUAAUGGCCUACCAAGGCGGCGACGGGUAGCCGGCCUGGGAGGGUGGACGGCCACAUUGGGACUGAGAUACGGCCCAGACGCCUACGGGAGGCAGCAGUGGGGAAUAUUGCACAAGGGGCGGAAGCCUGAUGCAGCGACGCCGCGUGGGGGAUGACGGCCUUCGGGUUGUAAACUCCUUUCGACCGCGAGGAAGCCACCUGGUUGGAAGGGUGGUGACGGUAGUGGUAGAAGAAGCACCGGCUAACUACGUG